rnacentral:rRNA from 1 species
CUACUAGGGUAUCUAAUCCUGUUCGCUCCCCCGGCUUUCGCACUUCAGCGUCAGUUACCGUCCAGUGAACUAUCUUCAUCAUCGGCAUUCCUGCACAUAUCUACGAAUUUCACCUCUACUCGUGCAGUUCCGUCCACCUCUCCGGUACUCCAGCCUCACAGUUUCAAAGGCAGGCCUGCGGUUGAGCCGCAGGUUUUCACCCCUGACUUGUCAGGCCGCCUAGAUGCCCUUUAUGCCCAAUAAUUCCGGAUAACGCUCGCGACAUACGUAUUACCGCGGCUGCUGGCAC